GCUAGGUGUGGUAGUUCUGUAGUCCCAGCUACUCAGGAGGCUGAGAUAGGAGGAUUGCUUGAGACCAAGAGUUCUGGGUUAUAGAGCACUUUGCCGAUCACUAAGUUUGACAUCAAUAUGGUGACUUCCUGAGAGCAGUGACCAUCAGGUUGCCUGGGAGCGGUGAACUGGCCCAGGUCAGAAUCAGAGUAGGUCAAAGUCCCAUGCUGAUCUGUAGAAGUGUAGGUGUGCCCCUGGCUCCGGACUGGGAGAGAUGGGAACUCAUGCCUU
rnacentral:SRP_RNA from 1 species